rnacentral:lncRNA from 1 species
CUACUUAUCUUUCAAAACGUCUUUUUGUUACACCAAGUUCACCUUCUAGGGCAUCUCAUUUUCUUCAGAUUUUCGGUUGCCUAGGAAGUUAAAUAGGGGAUUGUUUCAGGAAACGCGAGACGAUGUGGGCUGCUGUGUUCUCUGUAAGCCCUUGCCAGGUGGAAGGAGGGGCUGCUUUUUAUCUGACAAGAAUUUCUGCAGCAGCGGGCAGGCUCAUUAAGACUUUUCCCAUGCCACAUAACAAAAGACGGCUGGGGAAAACACGUGAGUGGCCGGAGCUGCGUGUUCCUUUGUCUCCCUGGCUGGGAAGGCACGGUUAGGAGCAGCCGAUUACACUUACUGUGCUUUCCGUGAAAGAAAAGCGUGGCCCCAGGCGCUGACAGAGAUACGAGCAUCUUAAUUUUGAAUGAAUCAUCCAUGGUAGUUGCUAUGGUUUGAAUGAUCCCUCCAGCACUCAUGCUGAAACGUAACCCUCAACAUGGCAGAACCGAGAGGUGGGGCCUUCAGGAGGUGACCGCAUCAGGGGGCUAUGCUCUCAAGAAGGGAUUAAUUCAUAAAUGAACAGAUGAAUGGGCUACCAUGGGAAUGGAACUGGCGUGCUGAUAAGAAGGGGAAGAGAGCCCUGAGCCAGCAUGCUUGUAUGCUCAGCCCCUCACCAUGUGAUGCCCUGCAUGACCUCAGGACCAGGUAGAGAUGCCUACCAGCAAGAUGGCCUUCACCAGAUGCAGUCUCUCAGCCUUGGACUUCACAGCCUCCAUAACUUGGAGACGGGAAACAAGCCUGUAAACAGGAAUAGUUUGUGCCUCAAAGAAGGAAGCCCAGAAGCUGAACAGACGCUCUAAGUGCUUCCACCAAGGACUUCCUCAGCACAAGAAGUGCCCCUGCUGCCCCGGAAUGAGGCCCUCAGUUAUGGGGAGGUCCCUCCAUGGGGUCCCGCAGCUCCCCCAGGGUCUCACCUCCUAAGAAGACUUUCCAGUGCCAGAGACCCUGGCUGGGAGCUGACUUGUGAGACUCUUUCAGGGAUGCAGAGUGUGCCCUGACGGUGCGCAGCACACAGAGGGCUUCCUGAUGACAGGGUCGGUGCUGGCCAUGCCCUGCGACAGAGAGGAGAAGCUGGGCCAGGGCCCCCAGGAGCCCAUCUGAGAUGGCUGCAAGGCAAAGCACUGAAAUGUUCUAUUUCUCAGUGAGGGUUUGGUUCAUCGACAUUUGCAUCCCUGAACCUCCCUUACUAACCUGUCCCCUCACAGUCCUCAUCGAAAUACAUGUCAAGUUGAAAACUCUGGUCAUAGGGCAGCAAUUCCAGUGACCAGCAAGGCCAGCAGCGUCCAGGCGACUCCUCUGAGCCUGCGUGUCACUGUUGCACUGGGGGCUGACUGUGGCCGGGCCGUCCUGCAGUUGAGGGCAGGAGCUGCGCUGAUCCCGCCCCUGCUCAGGCAGUGGUGCCCCAGGAAGGACCUGCACCAUUUAGGGCAGGUGUGAUGCUGGGUGACAAAAGCCCUAAAGACAUUACAAAGCACAUUCUUCAUGACCAAAAUCCCUGGUAGGAUGCAGACAAACGGAGGAGGCAAAACGGAGGUCCGCCUGAACCCUGGCUCUCCUCGGAGGCUUUAGAAACUCCGCUGGCUUACAAAGCCUUCACAUGGAACCUCUGCUAUCACCUGCGUUUCAAUCACCCGCUCAUUACUUCUUACAAGUGAUUCUGGAAAAGGCCAGGAUGGACUAGUCUUUGCCUAUUUUGUGUGAAUUCUAAGCGAGAUGAAGGGGAACACAGAGUGAGUUGACCACAGGCCCCAUUUGACACGGUCCCACCCAGUGAGACCCGGGCUGGACCUCGCCUUCCUCCUUCUGCUGUUUCCUUGCUUCUGACUCUUUCAAAGCUCUUGGUCUUUAAGGAAACACUCUUCCUAAUGCAUUGUCCAGUACCCUGACACACGCAGUCAACCAAAACGGAAAAAGGAUAAACUCAGGGACCCCUGAGCAUAACGUGCACGAAGGAUGGAGGGACUUGUCUGAUGUCCCCGCUGUGUGACUUGAGGGGACACAUUGAUGAAAACAUGCAGGAGAAGGUCUACAGCCCGUGACACCCCGAGGCCCGUCUACACGGUGGGGAAGGCGCAGGAGUCUGGAGGGGGCCCAGGGCGCCAGCUCGGCUCUCUGCAAGGAGCCCAGUGACAGAAACUAAUAAAGCCACUUCGCUUCCAUUGCUCAAUGCAGCACAUUGAGAUGCCCCCAUCACCCCCGUGUACAUGGCAAAGAUGAAGUGAGAGCACGGCCAGCAUGUAGUCGGGGGAACCUCCACGCUGACGAUGGACCCACCCCACGUGCACGGUUA